CAUCUUGUUCCCUCUCCAGAGCCUGCAUCAUCUGCAGCUGGCUUAGAGGAGACACAGGCCAAAACGACUCACUCCCAGCAGGACCCUAGAGAACAAACAAGGACCCUGUGCCUUCAGUGCCCUGGGGCUGAGAAGAGGGAAAGGCCAUGGGCAGAGUGACUUCCUCACCAAAUACUGCACCAGGGGUCCUUGCGGCAGCAGCUGCAGCUGAACAAGGCUCAGGAAGUUGGUGGCUACAAAGACGUGGGGGCAGCUGGGUCCCAGUGCUAGCCAGUGACGGAGCACAGCAGCCAGAAGUGCCAGGCCAUCCACCUGUCAAAGGGCAGAGGUGAGAGGGCAGAGCCAGGACAGCUGUGUCCUUCUGUAGCUGUCAUGGCUUCUCCUCCCCUCUGUGCACGCAUCCCCCUUUCUUCCCUGAGGUCAGUCUCCUGCUCCCGUUUCUCAUUUUCCUCCAUCCCCCCUCCUUAGCAUCUCUUCAUUUUCCUCCGCACCGAGUUGGUCCCCUUCCCGAAUUCAUCGAUCAGGACCAGCGAGUGCUCUGUGGCAUUGUUCACUGCUUUCGCCACCUGCUGGGCAUGAAGGGGACAAGGGAGCUUCCUUAGCGGUCAGGGCUGUGAUGUGUCAUCAUGAAUAAACUCCUUACAUGUGUCUACCCCUAAA